GCAAACGAAUGAUACGUUGGAAUUAGAAAAACCGAACACACUCACCAUAAUCCAGAGAGCUUCAUCAUCGUCUCCACUCCACUCUCCAUUCUCCACUGUUCCAUGAAAUGUUGAAUACUCAUUCUUCCUUCACCUUUCAACCUUUAACAGACCAAUUCCCUUCACCCUUCACCUUCUUCCCAUCUCACUUCCACCCCACACUCAUCUCCCGUCCUCCUAAAUCCUCCCGCUUCCUCCUUCGCUGCUGCUCCAUCGAUUCCGAAACCCUCCCAAAAUCCGCCAUCCAAAGGAUCGCCGACAAGCUUCGAAGCCUCGGCUUCACAGAAUCACCCCCCGAACCCCUACCCGACCCUAAUUCUCCCUCUGCUCCUGGUGCAAUCUUUGUUCCUCUGCCGAAUCAGCUGCCCAAGUAUCGGGUUGGCCAUACCAUUGAUUCGAGCUGGAGCAUGCCGGAGAAUCCGGUUCCGGAACCGGGAACGGGGACUGCGAUUAAGAGGUUUCAUGAAUUGAGAGGUGAGGUGCAAAAAUGGAAGAAGAGGGACGGGGUUAGGGAGAAGAAGAGGGAGGAGAGAGCGCCGAGUUUGGCGGAGUUGAGCUUGACUGAGGAGGAGUUGGGGAGGCUUAGGACAAUUGGGAUUAGGUUGAAGAAGAAGCUUAAUGUUGGAAAGGCUGGGAUUACGGAGGGGAUUGUUAACACUAUACACGAGUAUUGGAGGCGGUCUGAGGUUGUGAAGAUAGCGUGUGAAGAUUUGUGUAGGCUUAACAUGAAGCGGACCCAUGAUUUAUUGGAGAGGAAAACUGGAGGAAUUGUUGUUUGGAGAUCUGGAAGUAAAAUAAUAUUAUAUCGGGGGCCCAAUUACAUAUAUCCUUACUUCUCUCAUGAAAUUUUGGAAGACGAAGGAUCUCAAGAUGCUUUACCUGCUUCACAUAGUGAUGAUGGAGGGAAUAGCGAAACAGAGAGUACUUUGUCCUGCAUCAAUGAUGAAAGAUCUGCUGGGCCAACUUCAUCUGUUAAAAUGCCCAGUCCGACUCUCAUUCAAGGUGUUGGUGCUCCAAACAGAGUGAGGUUUCAGCUGCCAGGCGAGGCAGAAUUAGCAGAAGAUGCUGAGAGUUUGUUGGAAGGACUAGGUCCACGUUUUUCAGAUUGGUGGGGAUAUGAUCCUCUACCUGUUGAUGCGGAUCUCCUUCCUGCCAUUGUUCCGGGAUAUCGUAAACCAUUCCGUCUUCUCCCAUAUGGAGUGAAGCCUAAGCUAACCAACGAUGAAAUGACCUCAUUGAGAAGACUUGCUAGGCCUUUGCCAUGCCAUUUUGCAUUGGGUCGUAAUAGGAAACUUCAAGGGCUUGCUGCUUCCAUUAUCCAGCUGUGGGAAAAAUGCGAGAUAGCUAAAAUUGCAGUUAAAAGAGGGGUGCAGAAUACAAAUAAUAAGUUGAUGGCUGAAGAGUUACAGUUGCUAACUGGAGGAACUUUGCUUUCCCGAGACAGGGAAUUCAUCGUCUUAUAUAGAGGAAAGGAUUUCCUGCCAUUUGCCGUUUCUUCUGCAAUGGAACAGAAAAGGCACAUGCGAUUACAUGAAAUGAAACAGACAGAUAAUUCACCAGCUACAACGGGGCAGGGGCUGAAACUUGAGAUAAAUGAAAAUGGUCCCACAAAUGAAAGUCAGAGCAUCACGGGGUGGAAAAAGAUUGUCUCUGAACGGAGAAAGCUGAUGUCAUCUGAGACCUCUAUGAGAAAGACUAGCAUCAAGUUGUCCAUUGCAUUAGAAAAAAAAGCGAAAGCAGAGGAAUUUUUAGCAAAGCUGGAGGAAGAAGAGAAGCUCCAACAACCUGAAAUAGAUAAAGAGGGAAUAACUGUGGAGGAAAGGUACAUGCUGAAGAAGGUUGGCUUAAGAAUGAAGCCUUUUCUACUUCUUGGUAGAAGAGGCGUUUUUGACGGAACAGUUGAAAAUAUGCAUCUUCACUGGAAAUAUAGGGAACUCGUGAAGAUAAUUACUAAUGAGAGAAGUUUCAAAACUGUUCAUGAUGUUGCACGAACCUUAGAGGCAGAAAGUGGUGGAAUUUUAGUAGCAGUUGAGAGAGUGAAAAGGAGUUUUGCUAUCAUUAUAUUCCGUGGGAAGAAUUACAAACGACCUUCACGUUUAAGGCCCGAGUCACUCUUGAAUAAAAAGGAGGCAUUGAAGAGAUCUAUAGAGGCACAACGUCGAAAGUCACUGAAACUUCAUGUUUUAAAGCUUACACAAAACGUAGAAGAAUUGAAACUAAAAUUGGAUGAAGACAAGCGAGCAAUUGGUAUGGAGUCGAUAAAGACAUCAACGUUUCAGCAGGGAAAAGAAGGGAUAGACGAGAUACAAACAACUGGAAGUUUGAAAUUAGUUGCUGAUUCUGCCUGCCUCACUCAUGCAGAAAAUAGUACUUGUUUGGAGGAGAAUGAAGUGGCCAAGGUCAAAAAGGGUCAUGGAACUCAUUCGAGUGGAACCAUCUGUUUGGACACUUCAGUGAAUCGUUUACAAACCACGAAUGAUGUCUUUUUAAUACACAAUGGUGAUCAGAGUAAUGCCACAGUCAGACCUUCGUUUGAAUCAGUAAGGCAAGGAAACCAUGCAAAGGUGCCCAUGGAUACCAAUGCUGAAUUUGGAACUAUCGAACCUCAAUCUGGCGCUAAUUCUUUGUCAGGAGAGAGUAAUUCUGGAACUUCAGAUGCCGUGCAUCAUGUUGCUAUGAACAAGGACACAAAACCAUCUGUUCGACUAGAAGAGGAAAAAUCGCCACCAUUACUUUCCUCAACAAGGAUAAACCAACCUGGUUAUUUUCCUGCCAAUGUUCCUCAACUUUCCAACAAAGAGAGGCUUCUUCUGCGACGGCAAGCCCUCAAGAUGAAGAAACUUCCUGUGCUUUCUGUAGGCAAGAGCAACGUAAUUACAGGAGUUGCAAAAGCAAUCAAGGAACAUUUUAAGAAACAUUCUCUUGCUAUAGUUAAUGUCAAAGGUAGAGCCAAAGGAACAUCGGUCCAGGAGAUUGUUUUUAAGCUUGAGCAAGCAACUGGUGCAGUCCUAGUCUCUCAGGAGCCAAGCAAAGUUAUUCUUUAUAGGGGUUGGGAGGAAGAAGAUAGGAAACAGAAAGCUACCAUGAUGAAGAACAGUGGUGAAGAUCGACUAUCUAUGAGCUCUGAACUUAUGGCAGCUAUUAGGAUUGAGUGUGGACUACGGUGAACAGGAAAGUAAUCAGCUCCUCCAUGUGAAAUUGUAGCUUGUGUCUCAGCUGUUACUUGAAGAAUUUCUAAAUGUUCAACCUCUAUCUCAACCUCUAUCUCCAGAAAUCAAUUGGAAUUUCUUGGCUCGGUGUUUGUCAUUCGUAAAUGGAUUGUUUUGCCGCUUGUCAGCUAGCAGGCUUCAUAGAAUUCAGGCUUUGGGAUGUCACGAAAUAAGAGUUUUAUAAUAUGCAUAUGAAACACAACAGAGGACACAUUCAACAAAUUUUGAGGUAGUUUCAUCAAUUUUGAUUGAGAUUCUUCAUCUACACGAGCUCAUAUUGAUAAAAUUGUCGAGAUUCAUCAAACAAAACCAUCUAAAAUUUAGUUCAAAGUAAAUUAUUUUUACAUGAACAUGACUUCUUGAAAUUUAGGUGUGUAAAAAUCAAUCAAAUCUCUUUUAACUUUGGAAGCAAA